AAUAGGACCCUGUCCUCCUAUUUUCAGUUGGUUUUGGCAGCGCGAGGACUAGGGUAAUGAUUAAUAGGGAUAGUUGGGGGCAUUAAUAUUUAAUUGUCAGAGGUGAAAUUCUUGGAUUUAUGAAAGAUUAACUUCUGCGAAAGCAUCUGCCAAGGAUGUUUUCAUUAAUCAAGAACGAAAGUUAGGGGAUCGAAGACGAUCAGAUACCGUCGUAGUCUUAACCAUAAACGAUGCCGACCAGCGAUUAGGAGACGUUGAAUACAAAACACCACCAUCGGUUGCGGUCGUCCUUGGCGUCUCGGUUUCGGCCGGGGCGCGGGGACGGUUUAGCCCGGUGGCACCGGUGAAU
rnacentral:rRNA from 1 species